rnacentral:rRNA from 1 species
GAUGAACGCUGGCGGCGUGCCUAAUACAUGCAAGUCGAGCGAACAGACGAGGAGCUUGCUCCUCUGACGUUAGCGGCGGACGGGUGAGUAACACGUGGAUAACCUACCUAUAAGACUGGGAUAACUUCGGGAAACCGGAGCCAAUACCGGAUAAUAUAUUGAACCGCAUGGUUCAAUAGUGAAAGACGGUUUUGCUGUCACUUAUAGAUGGAUCCGCGCCGCAUUAGCUAGUUGGUAAGGUAUCGGCUUACCAAGGCAACGAUGCGUAGCCGACCUGAGAGGGUGAUCGGCCACACUGGAACUGAGACACGGUCCAGACUCCUACGGGAGGCAGCAGUAGGGAAUCUUCCGCAAUGGGCGAAAGCCUGACGGAGCAACGCCGCGUGGGUGAUGAAGGUCUUCGGAUCGUAAAACUCUGUUAUUAGGGAAGAACGAAUGUGUAAGUAACUAUGCACGUCUUGACGGUACCUAAUCAGAAAGCCACGGCUAACUACGUG